rnacentral:lncRNA from 1 species
ACAAAAGGGAAUAGGCAUGUGAGAGUUCAAACCGAGAAAAGAGUCUGACACGUCACUUUUUCGGUUAUUCAACCUAAUAAAAGCAUCAAAGCAACUUCAAAUACGAAGGACGGAAAGCGUGUUUGCAUCCCGUCAACGGCAGCUGGAAGAGCAGAUCUGUUUUAUCCGUUUGUUUCCUGUCUUCCUCAGAUAACAUUGAAAGGAGAGAAAGCGAGAGAUAGAAAGAAAAGAAUGAAAGAGUUUAGAGCCAAUGCAGCCUGAUGAGAGGCGAGAUAUCAUCUUCCACCUCCUGUGUGUGUGAGAACAGACGUAAAGACCUUCAGUGUAAAGGGCGAGCAGACAGGUUUGGAUGGGAGCGUGUGUGAUAGCAGGAGCUGGCUAAAGCACGUCCAGAUCUCUCCAUCCACCCACCAACACAACCUCACAGCCUGCCAGAUACAUGAGCAGUGCCGAACGAAGGAUCUAAUGGACCUGUUUAUCAGGACAUCAGUGGACUAACAUCCGUUUCUCAUAGACACUUACACAAUAGAGCCGAGCUAUGUGAGUGUAUGUGUGUGCGGUGCUUGUAUAUGAAGUGACCUCUCUUACUUGGAGAGGAAGGUCUUAGACUGUUUGCUUCAGUAAUUGCAGAAGUCAAGGUAACGAUUAUCUAGUGCACUUCUCAGUGCCCUCAAAGUCAAGUGCAAGUGCCUGUGUAUCUUAAAGUCUUGGAAAGAUAAGUCAUAAUGAUAAACGUUUGAUUUGUCUUCUGUGGUUUAGUAUGGGUCCGAAUUGGCAAGGAUCAUAUUAAUUCUCCAUUUACACUGAGGUCUUGGUCAAUGUGUUAUUAUAAGCCACUGAAAGUUAAUAAGUUUACAACCUCCACUUAUCAAUUAACCUGAAACGAGUACAGACUAACCAAAACCCCAUCACCUAAGAAAAAAAAAAUAGGAUUAAAAUUUUAAGUUUUUUUCUUCCAAGGUGUGUGUAUUUUUUUAUUUGCUGUUAGUAUAUUUACUGUUUAUUUUUUAUAUUACAUUUUAUUACAUUGUAUUACAUAUUUAAUUUUUUUUGUAUUUGUAUAUAUGUAUUUAUAUGCAUAUACUUAAUUUCAUUUUACCUUUGGGAACAACCAGGGAGUGAGUGAGUGAGCAAGUAUUAUUUAUUUUAUUUUGUUUUGUUUUAUUUUAUUUUAAACUCUGCUAUUAUUUUUAUUUUAUGUUUUUACUUUUGGGAACGUCCAAGGAUUUAUGUAUUUAGUUAGUAGUUAUAGUAGAUUUACUAUAUAUUA